rnacentral:rRNA from 1 species
CCUACGGGUGGCUGCAGUGGGGAAUAUUGCACAAUGGGGGAAACCCUGAUGCAGCGACGCCGCGUGAGUGAAGAAGGAUUUCGGUAUGUAAAGCUCUAUCAGAAGGGCAGAAAAUGACGGUACCUGACUAAUCAGCCCAGUCUAACUACGUGCCAGCAGCCGAGGUCAUACUUAGGGGGCAAGCGUUAUCCGGAUUUACUGGGUGUAAAGGGAGCGUAGACGGCAGAGCAAGUCUGAAGCUAAAGCCCGCGGCCCAACUGCGGUACUGCUUUGGAAACUGCCCGGCUAGAGUGCUGGAGAGGUAAGCGGAAUUCCUAGUGUAGCGGUGAAAUGCGUAGAUAUUAGGAGGAACACCAGUGGCGAAGGCGGCUGACUGGACAGUAACUGACGUUGAGGCUCGAAAGCGUGGGGAGCAAACAGGAUUAGAUACCCGUGUAGUC